GAUGAACGCUGGCGGCGUGCCUAAUACAUGCAAGUCGAGCGAACAGACGAGGAGCUUGCUCCUCUGACGUUAGCGGCGGACGGGUGAGUAACACGUGGAUAACCUACCUAUAAGACUGGGAUAACUUCGGGAAACCGGAGCUAAUACCGGAUAACAUGUUGAACCGCAUGGUUCAACAGUGAAAGACGGUCUUGCUGUCGCUUAUAGAUGGAUCCGCGCCGCAUUAGCUAGUUGGUACGGUAACGGCUUACCAAGGCAACGAUGCGUAGCCGACCUGAGAGGGUGAUCGGCCACACUGGAACUGAGACACGGUCCAGACUCCUACGGGAGGCAGGAGUAGGGAAUCUUCCGCAAUGGGCGAAAGCCUGACGGAGCAACGCCGCGUGAGUGAAGAAGGUCUUUGGAUCGUAAAACUCUGUUAUUAGGGAAGAACAAAUGUGUAAGUAACUAUGCACGUCUUGACGGUACCUAAUCAGAAAGCCACGGCUAACUACGUG
rnacentral:rRNA from 1 species